rnacentral:tRNA from 1 species
UUGGAACGCUUCUGAAUAAAGUCCUUACCUGCAGGAUCGGGUAAGGCACAGCCAGAGAGGCUGCCUGCACUUCGGUGUAACGCGCCGUCAACAUAUCCCUUCCAGCGACAAUCAAUGGACCCUUUUGGGGCUAGUAGCUCAGUUGGUUAGAGCACACGCUUGAUAAGCGUGGGGUCGGAGGUUCAAGUCCUCCCUGGCCCACCAGUUCUGUAGCGUGUCCGCGAUGGACUGCACGCCGUGCGGUUGAUCUGGUCAUGCGCCGAUGGGGGCGUAGCUCAGCUGGGAGAGCACCUGCUUUGCAAGCAGGGGGUCGUCGGUUCGAUCCCGUCCGCCUCCACCAGACCUGGUGUUGAGAGGUUGGGGAACGGUCUGAAGACCUGAGAUGAUUGUCGCCGGAAGAUAAAGGAGAUCGGACGGAUAUCUUGUGGAACCGCGUUGGCGGUGCAUGAGGUGUUGCGGUCUGGUAAGUUUGCUCUUUGAUAAGUGAAUAGGUUGGUGCGUUUGUGGACGUGCCUUGAUCGCGGGUUGGUCUGACCCACGCGAUGGUCCGGGGAACCGGAGUGUCACGUGCUAAGCGAUUGGGGCGUAAGCGUUCAUAAGCGAGAAAUAUGUGUAUUGAUUGUGCGAUGCACUGCACUUU